GGGUUGUGAGGUUAAGCGACUAAGCGUACACGGUGGAUGCCCUGGCAGUCAGAGGCGAUGAAGGACGUGCUAAUCUGCGAAAAGCGCCGGCGAGGUGAUAUGAACCUUUGACCCGGCGAUGUCCGAAUGGGGAAACCCAGUGCAAUUCGUUGCACUAUCGUUAACUGAAUACAUAGGUUAACGAGGCGAACCGGGGGAACUGAAACAUCUAAGUACCCCGAGGAAAAGAAAUCAACCGAGAUUCCCCAGUAGCGGCGAGCGAACGGGGAGCAGCCCAGAGUCUGAAUCAGCGUGUGUGUUAGUGGAACGGUCUGGAAAGUCCGGCGAUACAGGGUGACAGCCCCGUACACGAAAAUGCACAUGCUGUGAACUCGAAGAGUAGGGCGGGACACGUGGUAUCCUGUCUGAAUAUGGGGGGACCAUCCUCCAAGGCUAAAUACUCCUGACUGACCGAUAGUGAACCAGUACCGUGAGGGAAAGGCGAAAAGAACCCCGGCGAGGGGAGUGAAAAAGAACCUGAAACCGUGUACGUACAAGCAGUGGGAGCACCCUUUGGGGUGUGACUGCGUACCUUUUGUAUAAUGGGUCAGCGACUUAUAUUCUGUAGCAAGGUUAACCGCAUAGGGGAGCCGAAGGGAAACCGAGUCUUAACUGGGCGUUAAGUUGCAGGGUAUAGACCCGAAACCCGGUGAUCUAGCCAUGGGCAGGUUGAAGGUUGGGUAACACUAACUGGAGGACCGAACCGACUAAUGUUGAAAAAUUAGCGGAUGACCUGUGGCUGGGGGUGAAAGGCCAAUCAAACCGGGAGAUAGCUGGUUCUCCCCGAAAGCUAUUUAGGUAGCGCCUCGUGAACUCAUCUUCGGGGGUAGAGCACUGUUUCGGCUAGGGGGUCAUCCCGACUUACCAACCCGAUGCAAACUGCGAAUACCGAAGAAUGUUAUCACGGGAGACACACGGCGGGUGCUAACGUCCGUCGUGAAGAGGGAAACAACCCAGACCGCCAGCUAAGGUCCCAAAGUCAUGGUUAAGUGGGAAACGAUGUGGGAAGGCCCAGACAGCCAGGAUGUUGGCUUAGAAGCAGCCAUCAUUUAAAGAAAGCGUAAUAGCUCACUGGUCGAGUCGGCCUGCGCGGAAGAUGUAACGGGGCUAAACCAUGCACCGAAGCUGCGGCAGCGACGCUUAUGCGUUGUUGGGUAGGGGAGCGUUCUGUAAGCCGUUGAAGGUGUGCUGUGAGGCAUGCUGGAGGUAUCAGAAGUGCGAAUGCUGACAUAAGUAACGAUAAAGCGGGUGAAAAGCCCGCUCGCCGGAAGACCAAGGGUUCCUGUCCAACGUUAAUCGGGGCAGGGUGAGUCGACCCCUAAGGCGAGGCCGAAAGGCGUAGUCGAUGGGAAACAGGUUAAUAUUCCUGUACUUGGUGUUACUGCGAAGGGGGGACGGAGAAGGCUAUGUUAGCCGGGCGACGGUUGUCCCGGUUUAAGCAUGUAGGCGGAGGUUCCAGGUAAAUCCGGUACCUUUUAACGCUGAGGUGUGAUGACGAGGCACUACGGUGCUGAAGUAACAAAUGCCCUGCUUCCAGGAAAAGCCUCUAAGCUCCAGGUAACACGAAAUCGUACCCCAAACCGACACAGGUGGUCAGGUAGAGAAUACCAAGGCGCUUGAGAGAACUCGGGUGAAGGAACUAGGCAAAAUGGUGCCGUAACUUCGGGAGAAGGCACGCUGACAUGUAGGUGAAGCCCCUGCGGGUGGAGCUGAAGUCAGUCGAAGAUACCAGCUGGCUGCAACUGUUUAUUAAAAACACAGCACUGUGCAAACACGAAAGUGGACGUAUACGGUGUGACGCCUGCCCGGUGCCGGAAGGUUAAUUGAUGGGGUUAUCCGUAAGGAGAAGCUCUUGAUCGAAGCCCCGGUAAACGGCGGCCGUAACUAUAACGGUCCUAAGGUAGCGAAAUUCCUUGUCGGGUAAGUUCCGACCUGCACGAAUGGCGUAAUGAUGGCCAGGCUGUCUCCACCCGAGACUCAGUGAAAUUGAACUCGCUGUGAAGAUGCAGUGUACCCGCGGCAAGACGGAAAGACCCCGUGAACCUUUACUAUAGCUUGACACUGAACAUUGAGCCUUGAUGUGUAGGAUAGGUGGGAGGCUUUGAAGCGUGGACGCCAGUCUGCGUGGAGCCAACCUUGAAAUACCACCCUUUAAUGUUUGAUGUUCUAACCUGGCGCCGUGAUCCGGCGUGGGGACAGUGUCUGGUGGGUAGUUUGACUGGGGCGGUCUCCUCCUAAAGAGUAACGGAGGAGCACGAAGGUUGGCUAAUCCUGGUCGGACAUCAGGAGGUUAGUGCAAUGGCAUAAGCCAGCUUGACUGCGAGCGUGACGGCGCGAGCAGGUGCGAAAGCAGGUCAUAGUGAUCCGGUGGUUCUGAAUGGAAGGGCCAUCGCUCAACGGAUAAAAGGUACUCCGGGGAUAACAGGCUGAUACCGCCCAAGAGUUCAUAUCGACGGCGGUGUUUGGCACCUCGAUGUCGGCUCAUCACAUCCUGGGGCUGAAGUAGGUCCCAAGGGUAUGGCUGUUCGCCAUUUAAAGUGGUACGCGAGCUGGGUUUAGAACGUCGUGAGACAGUUCGGUCCCUAUCUGCCGUGGGCGCUGGAGAAUUGAGGGGGGCUGCUCCUAGUACGAGAGGACCGGAGUGGACGCAUCACUGGUGUUCGGGUUGUCAUGCCAAUGGCAUUGCCCGGUAGCUACAUGCGGAAGAGAUAAGUGCUGAAAGCAUCUAAGCACGAAACUUGCCCCGAGAUGAGUUCUCCCUGAGACUUAGAGUCUCCUGAAGGAACGUUGAAGACGACGACGUUGAUAGGCCGGGUGUGUAAGCGCAGCGAUGCGUUGAGCUAACCGGUACUAAUGAACCGUGAGGCUUAACCUUACAACGCCGAAG
rnacentral:rRNA from 1 species